CCUACGGGCGGCAGCAGUGGGGAAUAUUGCACAAUGGGCGCAAGCCUGAUGCAGCCAUACCGCGUGUGUGAAGAAGGCCUUCGGGUUGUAAAGCACUUUCAGCGGGGAGGAAGGCGUUAAGGUUAGUAACCUUGGCGAUUGACGUUACCCGCAGAAGAAGCACCGGCUAACUCCGUGCCAGCAGCCGCGGUAAUACGGAGGGUGCAAGCGUUAAUCGGAAUUACUGGGCGUAAAGCGCACGCAGGCGGUCUGUCAAGUCGGAUGUGAAAUCCCCGGGCUCAACCUGGGAACUGCAUUCGAAACUGGCAGGCUAGAGUCUUGUAGAGGGGGGUAGAAUUCCAGGUGUAGCGGUGAAAUGCGUAGAGAUCUGGAGGAAUACCGGUGGCGAAGGCGGCCCCCUGGACAAAGACUGACGCUCAGGUGCGAAAGCGUGGGGAGCAAACAGGAUUAGAUACCCGGGUAGUC
rnacentral:rRNA from 1 species